UCUGCUUUCUUCCUACACUUUUAGAAUUUGAGAUGAAUUGCUGAAGGGCUUCUCUUACUGAAUUUUCCUCCAAGGAGUUCCCCUUCUAGGAGUCAGAAAAUU
rnacentral:miRNA from 1 species